rnacentral:lncRNA from 1 species
AAAAAUAUUAUAAGUGACUUUACCUCAAAAGUUAGGAUUAAAAAUGUUUUAAAAUGAUUAAAAUAAAAAUGUUAAAUGAAAAUUAAAUGAAAAAUAAUAAAAAACAUGAAUUAAAUGCAAAAAAGAUUUUAAAGAUUAUGCAAAAUUUAUAUAUGGUAGAUAAUAUUUUUAUGAAAUUAUGAUAAAAAGUUGGACUAAAAAAUAAUAAAGGACCUAAUUAAAAUGUUUUUUGG